CUUUCUUCUCUAUCACUUUCCCCAUCCCCAUCACUUCGUCCCACUGUGCCCGAGAUAUCUCCUUCCUUCUCUUCAUCCAACGACCAAGAAAUUAAACCAGAAGUUGUCUAUAAGAAAUGCGUAUAUAUUUUGAGCCGAAUACCUGAACUGAAGUUUGGAAGCAGAUGGCUUGGUGAUACCGGUAGAUAAGAAGGGGUUCAGGUGGUGCUCUUCCUCUUCCUCUUCUUCUUCCCCUUGUACUCUUCCUCUUCUUCCUGUUGGAGUCUUAGCCGGUGAGUCCAUCACUGGAUUCCGAACGCCCUCGGAGAGAGUACCACGUCAAAGCUUCGGCAGGUCAAGGGCAAGGAUUUGCCGGGCCUCGGGCUACAUUAAAUCUCUAUAUAAUUUUCAACUGGCCAACCCAGGGCAGCCCAAUGCAUUUGGGGGCUAAGACAAACUCACUGGAGGAGGUAUUUUUUUUAAAAAAAUGAUAAUUUUUUUUAAUAAAUAUAAAAUACAUUAAAAAUUUAUUUAAAAAUAAUUCGUCUAGCUUUUUGAGAUGUAAAAUUACUAAACAAACUUUUGUACUCAAUAUUCAUUAAAAUACUAUUUUCAAUCUCAUGGAGUUUUUUUUUUUCAAGUAGGAAAGCAACUCAUGUUAACAAUAAUAACAUAAAUGAAUCACUAAAUUUAGACAAUAAUAUAUCCAAGAAAAAACUCCAGAACACAGAAAACACACAUAUCUAAACAGUCGUAAGAAAUUAAUUCACAACAUAUUCAUGAAUUUUAAAAAAACAGGUAACCUAGAUUUUACUAGACCCAAUCAACCAAGUUAAAAAGAGCUUAAGAACUCGAUGCAUAAAAUAAUGAGAAUAUGUUACAAGGGAAAGAAAAGGAUUAGGAAAAGAAGAAUCAUAAGUACAGAUUCUCAUAGACAAGUAAUAUCUGGCCUCGAGUGAAGUAAAAGAUACAGAAAAGGAGGAGAUGGACAAGUACUGAAGUACACCUUCGUUCCUUGAUGCCCACAAAUACAGCAUCUCUCAAGGUACCAUACCAUAUGCUUUCUCCAAUUUAACAUGAGCUCGUUUUCAGUUUUCUUAUCUUGUUCCAUCACACUCUUUAGUAUCAUACUCUAUAUUGUUGAUUCAAUUCCACAAAAGUUGGUACAAUUAUGUGCAUAACUCUUACAAAAAAAUGACAUGGAAAUUGCUUUAUGUAACCAACCAUAACCAUGGAAAAUCAAGAUUCCAAGAAAAUGAAAAUUCUUGAGUUGUUUUAUCACUAAUGACCGAAAAAUCUGCCCAAUGGACUAAUAACACUGUUUGCAGAAAUUUUCACCAAAAACAGAACAAUCGUGCACCUUUAGCAGGAGACUAAAUAAAUCCUUCUUUUAUUUAAACAUCAAAAGGCAAAAGGAACGAAAAAGAACAACAAAAAGAGAGAGGACGCCACUGAAACAGAGGAAUUUAAGGCCGAGGAGGAAGCCGAGAUGGUGAGAUAAGGUGGAGGCACGGCUUCACCAGGAAGUUGGAAGAUAAAAAAAGUUCCGAGCAAGACGAUUAGAACUUAGAAGAGAAGAGAGACUCUUCGCCCUCCCUAAAGCGGAUCGGAAGACUAGAUAAGGAGAAGAAGAGAGAGAGAGAGAGAGAGAGAGAGAGAGAGAGAGAGAGAGAGAGAGAGUANNNNNNNNNNNNNNNNNNNNAGGUCAAGGGCAAGGAUUUGCCGGGCCUCGGGAGAGAGAGAGAGAGAGAGAGAGAGAGAGAGAGAGGAGAGAGAGUUAUAUCAAGAUCCAGAAUGGAAGACGACGACGCCGCGCUGGAGAAGAGUGGGUGUUUUUACUAUUUCACGGCGGGGGUUUGGGAACGGCACGGGUUCCUCUGUUUCAGUGAAAUAGCUCUACGCCUCCAGGGACUUUCAAGUAAACGCGUCCAAAAAACAAUAUAAAAAAUAGAAAAUUUGCGAGGAAGACCUUAAUCAUUUGACGGAGAUAUGGUGUUCGGUGGAAUCUUUAUUGCCGAAGGCUGGACUGGUCGAGAGAGGAGACCGUCGAGACGGGAGUAGACGAGGGGGCGGAAACGAGAAGCCUUGUCGCCGUUGUCGGGGUGAGCAGAUGGCCGGUGGCCUGGCGGGGUGGCGGGUUAUCGAGUUGAGGCGAGGAGGAGAAGCCCUACUUCCCUUCCUAAUCGGAGAGACAUGCUAGGGAUCCAAGGGGUGGGAUAGGGAAUUAAUCUUGGAAAAUAUUAAGGACACCUCAGGUAGUAUGAUUGGGUUCGGGCCGGAGCCGGACUGGGUCAUUGUAAACACAAGCCCGAACUGUUCAAAGGAGCCUAAGCUCAUCCAAAAUGUGCGGAGCUCGAGUAGGCCGCGCAAGAUUUGAGCAGCAGC
rnacentral:lncRNA from 1 species